AUUGAACGCUGGCGGCAUGCCUUACACAUGCAAGUCGAACGGUAACAGGUCUUCGGAUGCUGACGAGUGGCGAACGGGUGAGUAAUACAUCGGAACGUGCCUAGUAGUGGGGGAUAACUACUCGAAAGAGUGGCUAAUACCGCAUGAAAUCUACGGAUGAAAGCAGGGGAUCGCAAGACCUUGUGCUACUAGAGCGGCCGAUGGCAGAUUAGGUAGUUGGUGGGAUAAAAGCUUACCAAGCCGACGAUCUGUAGCUGGUCUGAGAGGACGAUCAGCCACACUGGGACUGAGAAACGGCCCAGACUCCUACGGGAGGCAGCAGUGGGGAAUUUUGGAAAAUGGGCGCAAGCCUGAUCCAGCAAUGCCGCGUGCAGGAUGAAGGCCUUCGGGUUGUAAACUGCUUUUGUACGGAACGAAAAGCCCCGGGUUAAUACCCUGGGGUCAUGACGGUACCGUAAGAAUAAGCACCGGCUAACUACGUGCCAGCCGCCGCCGUAA
rnacentral:rRNA from 1 species